rnacentral:rRNA from 1 species
UACGGAGGGUGCAAGCGUUGCUCGGAAUUAUUGGGCGUAAAGGGCAGGUAGGUGGUCUCGUUUGUCUGGGGUGAAAGCCUUGAGCUUAACUCAAGAAGUGCCCCAGAAACGGCGAGACUAGAGUUCUGGAGAGGGUCGUGGAAUUCCCGGUGUAGCGGUGAAAUGCGUAGAGAUCGGGAGGAACACCAGAGGCGAAAGCGGCAUCCUGGACCAACACUGACACUGAGGAGCGAAAGCCAGGGGAGCAAACGGG